GAGAGAGAGAGAGACAGAGAGACAGAGAGAGAGAGAGACAGAGAGAGAGAGAGAGAGAGAGAGACAGAGAGAGAGACAGAGAGAGACAGAGAGAGACAGAGAGAGACAGAGAGAGAGAGAGAGAGAGAGACAGAGACAGAGAGAGAGACAGAGAGAGAGAGAGACAGAUGUGUAGUGUUUACUGUUAAUUUGUCUGACUCUGUGUCCAGGUGUGUGUGUUCCUCACCAGUCUGACUCUGUGACCAGAUGUGUGUGUUCCUCACCAGUCUGACUCUGUGACCAGGUGUGUGUGUUCCUCACCAGUCUGACUCUGUGACCAGGUGUGUGUGUUCCUCACCAGUCUGACUCUGUGACCAGGUGUGUGUGUUCCUCACCAGUCUGACUCUGUGACCAGGUGUGUGUGUUCCUCACCAGUCUGACUCUGUGACCAGGUGUGUGUGUUCCUCACCAAUCUGACUCUGUGACCAGGUGUGUGUGUGUUCCUCACCAGUCUGACUCUGUGACCAGGUGUGUGUGUGUUCCUCACCAGUCUGACUCUGUGACCAGUUGUGUGUGUUCCUCACCAGUCUGACUCUGUGACCAGGUGUGUGUGUUCCUCACCAGUCUGACUCUGUGACCAGGUGUGUGUGUUCCUCACCAGUCUGACUCUGUGACCAGGUGUGUGUGUUCCUCACCAGUCUGACUCUGUGUCCAGGUGUGUGUGUUCCUCACCAGUCUGACUCUGUGACCAGGUGUGUGUGUUCCUCACCAGUCUGACUCUGUGACCAGGUGUUUGUGUUCCUCACCAGUCUGACUCUGUGACCAGGUGUGUGUGUUCCUCACCAGUCUGACUCUGUGUCCAGGUGUGUGUGUUCCUCACCAGUCUGACUCUGUGACCAGGUGUGUGUGUUCCUCACCAGUCUGACUCUGUGACCAGGUGUGUGUGUUCCUCACCAGUCUGACUCUGUGACCAGGUGUGUGUGUUCCUCACCAGUCUGACUCUGUGACCAGGUGUGUGUGUUCCUCACCAGUCUGACUCUGUGACCAGGUGUGUGUGUUCCUCACCAGUCUGACUCUGUGACCAGGUGUGUGUGUUCCUCACCAGUCUGACUCUGUGACCAGGUGUGUGUGUUCCUCACCAGUCUGACUCUGUGACCAGGUGUGUGUGUGUUCCUCACCAGUCUGACUCUGUGACCAGUUGUGUGUGUUCCUCACCAGUCUGACUCUGUGACCAGGUGUGUGUGUUCCUCACCAGUCUGACUCUGUGACCAGGUGUGUGUGUUCCUCACCAGUCUGACUCUGUGACCAGGUGUCCUCACCAGUCUGACUCUGUGACCAGGUGUGUGUGUUCCUCACCAGUCUGACUCUGUGACCAGGUGUGUGUGUUCCUCACCAGUCUGACUCUGUGACCAGGUGUCCUCACCAGUCUGACUCUGUGUCCAGGUGUGUGUGUUCCUCACCAGUCUGACUCUGUGACCAGGUGUGUGUGUUCCUCACCAAUCUGACUCUGUGACCAGGUGUGUGUGUUCCUCACCAGUCUGACUCUGUGACCAGGUGUGUGUGUUCCUCACCAGUCUGACUCUGUGACCAGUUGUGUGUGUUCCUCACCAGUCUGACUCUGUGACCAGGUGUGUGUGUUCCUCACCAGUCUGACUCUGUGACCAGGUGUGUGUGUUCCUCACCAGUCUGACUCUGUGACCAGGUGUGUGUGUUCCUCACCAGUCUGACUCUGUGUCCAGGUGUGUGUGUUCCUCACCAGUCUGACUCUGUGACCAGGUGUGUGUGUUCCUCACCAGUCUGACUCUGUGACCAGGUGUUUGUGUUCCUCACCAGUCUGACUCUGUGACCAGGUGUGUGUGUUCCUCACCAGUCUGACUCUGUGUCCAGGUGUGUGUGUUCCUCACCAGUCUGACUCUGUGACCAGGUGUGUGUGUUCCUCACCAGUCUGACUCUGUGACCAGGUGUGUAUGUUCCUCACCAGUCUGACUCUGUGACCAGGUGUGUGUGUUCCUCACCAGUCUGACUCUGUGACCAGGUGUGUGUGUUCCUCACCAGUCUGACUCUGUGUCCAGGUGUGUGUGUUCCUCACCAGUCUGACUCUGUGACCAGGUGUGUGUGUUCCUCACCAGUCUGACUCUGUGACCAGGUGUUUGUGUUCCUCACCAGUCUGACUCUGUGACCAGGUGUGUGUGUUCCUCACCAGUCUGACUCUGUGUCCAGGUGUGUGUGUUCCUCACCAGUCUGACUCUGUGACCAGGUGUGUGUGUUCCUCACCAGUCUGACUCUGUGACCAGGUGUUUGUGUUCCUCACCAGUCUGACUCUGUGACCAGGUGUGUGUGUUCCUCACCAGUCUGACUCUGUGUCCAGGUGUGUGUGUUCCUCACCAGUCUGACUCUGUGACCAGGUGUGUGUGUUCCUCACCAGUCUGACUCUGUGACCAGGUGUGUGUGUUCCUCACCAGUCUGACUCUGUGACCAGGUGUGUGUGUUCCUCACCAGUCUGACUCUGUGACCAGGUGUGUGUGUUCCUCACCAGUCUGACUCUGUGACCAGGUGUGUGUGUUCCUCACCAGUCUGACUCUGUGACCAGGUGUGUGUGUUCCUCACCAGUCUGACUCUGUGACCAGGUGUGUGUGUUCCUCACCAGUCUGACUCUGUGACCAGGUGUGUGUGCUCCUCACCAGUCUGACUCUGUGACCAGGUGUCUGUGUUCCUCACCAGUCUGACUCUGUGACCAGGUGUCCUCACCAGUCUGACUCUGUGACCAGGUGUGUGUGUUCCUCACCAGUCUGACUCUGUGACCAGGUGUGUGUGUUCCUCACCAGUCUGACUCUGUGACCAGGUGUGUGUGUUCCUCACCAGUCUGACUCUGUGACCAGGUGUGUGUGUGUUCCUCACCAGUCUGACUCUGUGACCAGGUGUGUGUGUUCCUCACCAGUCUGACUCUGUGACCAGGUGUGUGUGUUCCUCACCAGUCUGACUCUGUGACCAGGUGAAUGUGUUCCUCACCAGUCUGACUCUGUGACCAGGUGUGUGUGUUCCUCACCAGUCUGACUCUGUGACCAGGUGUGUGUGUUCCUCACCAGUCUGACUCUGUGACCAGGUGUGUGUGUGUUCCUCACCAGUCUGACUCUGUGACCAGGUGUGUGUGUUCCUCACCAGUCUGACUCUGUGACCAGGUGUCCUCACCAGUCUGACUCUGUGACCAGGUGUGUGUGUUCCUCACCAGUCUGACUCUGUGACCAGGUGUGUGUGUU